rnacentral:rRNA from 1 species
GACGAAGGAUGCAGGCGUUAUCCGGAUUCAUUGGGUUUAAAGGGAGCGUAGGUGGUCUUAUAAGUCAGUGGUGAAAUCUUCUCGCUUAACGGGAAAACUGCCAUUGAUACUGUAGGACUUGAGUAUAGUUGCUGUGGGCGGAAUAUGACAUGUAGUGGUGAAAUACUUAGAGAUGUCAUAGAACACCGAUUGCGAAGGCAGCUCACAAAACUAUAACUGACACUGAGGCUCGAAAGUGCGGGGAUCAAACAGG